rnacentral:rRNA from 1 species
CCUACGGGGGACAGCAGUGAGGAAUAUUGGUCAAUGGGCGGGAGCCUGAACCAGCCAAGUCGCGUGAGGGAAGACGGUCCUAUGGAUUGUAAACCUCUUUAGGCGGGGAGCAAUGCUGGGCACGCGUGCCCGGAGGGAGAGUACCCGCAGAAUAAGCAUCGGCUAACUCCGUGCCAGCAGCCGCGGUAAUACGGAGGAUGCGAGCGUUAUCCGGAUUUAUUGGGUUUAAAGGGUGCGUAGGCGGGACCUUAAGUCAGCGGUAAAAUUGCGGUGCUCAACGCCGUAGAGCCGUUGAAACUGGGGUUCUUGAGUGAGCGAGAAGUAUGCGGAAUGCGUGGUGUAGCGGUGAAAUGCAUAGAUAUCACGCAGAACCCCGAUUGCGAAGGCAGCAUACCGGCGCUCAACUGACGCUGAGGCACGAAAGUGCGGGUAUCGAACAGGAUUAGAUACCCUGGUAGUC